rnacentral:rRNA from 1 species
ACGUAGGUGGCAAGCGUUGUCCGGAAUUACUGGGUGUAAAGGGAGCGCAGGCGGGUGAUCAAGUCAGCUGUGAAAACUAUGGGCUUAACCCGUAGACUGCAGUUGAAACUGUUCAUCUUGAGUGAAGUAGAGGUUGGCGGAAUUCCGAGUGUAGCGGUGAAAUGCGUAGAUAUUCGGAGGAACACCGGUGGCGAAGGCGGCCAACUGGGCUUUAACUGACGCUGAGGCUCGAAAGUGUGGGGAGCAAACAG